AUCAACUUUCGAUGGUAGGAUAGAGGCCUACCAUGGUGGUAACGGGUAACGGGGUGUUAGGGCACGACACCGGAGAGGGAGCCUGAGAAACGGCUACCACAUCCAAGGAUGGCAGCAGGCGCGCAAAUUACCCAAUCCCGACACGGGGAGGUAGUGACAAUAAAUAACAAUACGGGGUCCUUUAGGGUUUCGUAAUUGGAAUGAGUACAAUUUAAAUCUCUUAACGAGGAACAAUUGGAGGGCAAGUCUGGUGCCAGCAGCCGCGGUAAUUCCAGCUCCAAUAGCGUAUAUUAAAGUUGUUGCAGUUAAAAAGCUCGUAGUUGAAUUUCGGGAUCAGUACGUUGGUCGUGCCUUGGUACGUACUGGUGUAACUGAUUCCUCCCUUCUGACGAACCGUCAUGCCAUUAAUUUGGUGUGGCGGGAAAUCAGGACUGUUACUUUGAAAAAUUAGAGUGUUUAAAGCAGGCUCGCGCUUGAAUACAUUAGCAUGGAAUAAUGAAAUAGGACGUUGUUCUUAUUUUGUUGGUUUCUAGGAUCGACGUAAUGAUUAAUAGGGAUAGUUGGGGGCAUUAGUAUUCAAUUGUCAGAGGUGAAAUUCUUGGAUUUAUUGAAGACUAACUACUGCGAAAGCAUUUGCCAAAGAUGUUUUCAUUAAUCAAGAACGAAAGUUAGGGGAUCGAAGACGAUCAGAUACCGUCGUAGUCUUAACCAUAAACUAUGCCGACUAGGGAUCGGAUGAUGUUAAUUUUUUAAUGACUCAUUCGGCGCCUUACGGGAAACCAAAGUGUUUGGGUUC
rnacentral:rRNA from 1 species